AUACAUACGCAUGUGUGUAUGUGUGCAUGUGUAUGUACAUGUAUGCAUGCUUAUACAUGUGUUUGUAUGUAUGUAUGU
rnacentral:miRNA from 1 species